UCGUGAUACCGCUUAAUAAACCACACCACGAGCCUUUUCAUCUGCUUGUCCUUCGCAAAUAAAGACCUAAAAGUUCCGUAGUUGUUGUCAAGAAUAACAUAUGUAUUAGUCAGCCUAUAAUAUAGUUAAAAAUAGGCCCGACUUGCAAAGGAUCUAAGACCGCGCCUGCAUUUUUAAAGUAAUAGGGCCUGGCCUACUACUGUCAGCUUGCUCUUUGUAUGAAAGAAGGCCAAUGACUGGAACCAGAUCGAUUUAACGUUUACGUUAAGUCCGCACGCAGAGAAUUAUCGCACCAACACUUUCCCAAGUGUACCGGCCUAAUUCACCGCAUCGUCAAGUCACGCAUCUUUGGGAAACCGGCGCACUAACAUCCAUACCGAUACGUCAGCGCAUCGUCAAUUCAAGCGACGCAACAUUUUACCGUACUGUAUACAAACCACGUAAUACGUCGUUGAUUCACCGAUCAUAUCGACGCGCACACGGGCGCCCCCGUCGUUUAUUGUGACGCCAACAGCGCUGAUAUACCGUACCAUCGGUUUAUACAAUGGGUAAUAGUCCAAAUAAAUUCACCACUUCGGACCGAAUCCUAAAGCUAUGUCAACCUGGAGAUAUAAUAGAAAUACAACAUAUAAACGCGUCGUUCAAUCAUUGGGCAAUCUACGUUGGCAGCGAAGAACUAAUUCACGUGCGUUUUCCUUGCGUGAUAAAAGAAAAACUAAAGCGUGUAGCCGGACACAAUCUUCUGCGAAUAAAUAAUGAUAAACACAAGAAACUAUUAUAUAACAUACCAGCAUUAAGCACUGGAGAUAUCAUAGAAACUGCAUAUAGAAAUCUUGGAUUAGAUUGGUUCAUGAAGCAGUACUUUGGAUGCGAGAUGUUUGUGAUAUUAUGUCGAUUUGGAGUAAAAGUCAACUUGAGAGAUUUAUAUUUGACGAAGUUAGAACGGAUACAAUGGAAUAAUAUUACGUCGUUGACAAAUCCAUUGGUGACGUACGGACAUCAACAACACGAGGACAUAAUAGGGCUCUGACUUUAUUCAUCCCAUAGUCCUACCUCUAAAGUUGGCUCCCUCAAAUCUAUCCUUGUUUUACGAAGACUCCCUAAUUCUUAUGGACUUCCCUCCCAUCAUAUUCUAAACUUUUUUUUUUAGUUUUUCAUUAUAUACCGUAUUUAUUUGAAUAGACACCCCCGCAUUGAAUAAACGCCCCCCCCCCCACUCUUAAAUUGAUUGGAAAUAACGCCUCCUUCAAAUACUACGCCCGAGCGUUUAUCGGAAUAAACGCCCCCCACCCCACCUCCCCUUUUAAUGAAUAUAAAGUAUAGUCAAUAUAUUGAAAGCAAAGCAAUUUUUUUAAUUCUGAAGGGGGGGGGGGGCGUUUGCUUUGGUGGAAGCAACAUUCUAACACGUUAAGUUCUACUUCAAUAGAAUUACCGUACAUUUUUUCUAGAGCCUGGUUCCAGUGGGUCAUAAAUUCUUUAUUAUGAAUGAUCACGCAAUAACACAUUUUGACGGUCCAUAUCACCCAGUGAAAUUAAUGGGCGUUUAUUUUUAGUUACAACAAACAUAUCCAAAUUAAACACCAAUCCCCUCCCUCAUUUAUUGUAAUAAAUACGGUAUAUAAUUUUGGUCGAUUAUGAUGUACGCAAAAAAUAGGCCUAUAUUCUGUGAACAAAAUUUAAAUGAAAAUCGAAAAGAAAUAACUAUCGUACAAUAAAAAAGUAGCUGGCUCACUGAGAAGGGGGUAGCUGGCUUAUCCGAGUUAAGCUAACCCUGUCCUGCAUUUCUGUUUUACAUAUAACAAUAUAAAUACUGUGAUUGUAAAUGAUAUUUGUCAAAUAAAUGAAAUGAAUGAAA